rnacentral:rRNA from 1 species
UGGCGGCAUGGCUUACACAUGCAAGUCGAACGGUAACNGGUCUUCGGAUGCCGACGAGUGGCGAACGGGUGAGUAAUACAUCGGAACGUGCCCGAUCGUGGGGGAUAACAAAGCGAAAGCUUUGCUAAUACCGCAUACGAUCUACGGAUGAAAGCAGGGGACCGCAAGGCCUUGCGCGAACGGAGCGGCCGAUGGCAGAUUAGGUAGUUGGUGGGAUAAAAGCUUACCAAGCCGACGAUCUGUAGCUGGUCUGAGAGGACGACCAGCCACACUGGGACUGAGACACGGCCCAGACUCCUACGGGAGGCAGCAGUGGGGAAUUUUGGACAAUGGGCGAAAGCCUGAUCCAGNCAUGCCGNGUGCAGGAUGAAGGCCUUCGGGUUGUAAACUGC